UCCCGUUUAGCUCAGUUGGUAGAGCGCAUCACUAGUAGCCCACUUCCAAAUCGGGGUAUUAUUCCCACGGUCACGUGACCCGAAUGAUGAGGUCAGUCGUUCAAAUCGGCUAAUGGGAA